rnacentral:rRNA from 1 species
UACGGAGGGUGCAAGCGUUGUUCGGAAUGACUGGGCGUAAAGAGCACGUAGGCGGCUUGGUCAGUCGGAUGUGAAAGCCCUAGGCUUAACCUAGGAACAGCAUCUGAUACUGCCGAGCUUGAGUACCCGAGAGGUUGGUAGAAUUCCUGGUGUAGGAGUGAAAUCCGUAGAUAUCAGGAGGAAUACCGGAGGCGAAGGCGGCCAACUGGUGGUGUACUGACGCUGAGGUGCGAAAGCGUGGGGAGCAAACAGG